UGGCGUGUAGCUCAGAUGGCGAGAGCACCGGUCCGAUAAACCGGGGGUCGCAGGUUCGAGUCCUGCCAUGCCAA
rnacentral:tRNA from 1 species